rnacentral:rRNA from 1 species
UACGUAGGGUGCAAGCGUUGUCCGGAAUUAUUGGGCGUAAAGAGCUCGUAGGCGGUCUGUCGCGUCUGCUGUGAAAACUCAGGGCUUAACCCUGAGCUUGCAGUGGGUACGGGCAGACUAGAGUGCGGUAGGGGAGACUGGAAUUCCUGGUGUAGCGGUGAAAUGCGCAGAUAGUCAGGAGGAACACCGGUGGCGGAAGGCGGGUCUCUGGGCCGUAACUGACGCUGGAGGAGCGGAAAGCAUGGGGAGCGAACACGGAU